rnacentral:rRNA from 1 species
CUAUACAUGCAGUCGAGCGAAUGGAUUAAGAGCUUGCUCUUAUGAAGUUAGCGGCGGACGGGUGAGUAACACGUGGGUAACCUGCCCAUAAGACUGGGAUAACUCCGGGAAACCGGGGCUAAUACCGGAUAACAUUUUUGAACUGCAUGGUUCGAAAUUGAAAGGCGGCUUUCGGCUUGUCACUUAUGGAUGGACCCGCGUCGCAUUAGCUAGUUGGUGAGGUAACGGCUCACCAAGGCAACGAUGCGUAGCCGACCUGAGAGGGUGAUCGGCCACACUGGGACUGAGACACGGCCCAGACUCCUACGGGAGGCAGCAGUAGGGAAUCUUCCGCAAUGGACGAAAGUCUGACGGAGCAACGCCGCGUGAGUGAUGAAGGCUUUCGGGUCGUANAACUCUGUUGUUAGGGAAGAACAAGUGCUAGUUGAAUAAGCUGGCACCUUGACGGUACCUAACCAGAUAGCCACGGCUAACUACGUGCCAGCAGCCGCGGUAAUACGU